rnacentral:piRNA from 1 species
GAGGUGUGAAGGAUGCUGACCAGCG